UAAACUUUAGGAGGGUCACAUCGGAUGUUCGAACGCUAAUUAGGAGGACUAAACAUGAGCUAAUUAUAAAACUAACUGCAGAACCCCUGUACUAAUUCACGAGAUGAAUCUAUUAAGCCUAAUUAAUCCAUCAUUAGAAAAUGUUUACUGUAGCACCACAUUAUCAAAUCGUGGACUAAUUAGGCUUAAUAGAUUCGUCUCGCGAAUUAGACUCCAUCUGUGCAAUUAGUUUUGUAAUUAGACUAUAUUUAAUACUCCUAAUUAGUAUCUAAACAUCCGAUGUGAUAGGUACUAAA
rnacentral:lncRNA from 1 species